rnacentral:lncRNA from 1 species
AUAAUAUGUGAACCUUAAUUAAAAAUACUUUAUUGCUAAAAAUGCUAAUGAUCAUCUGAGCCUUCAGGGAGUUGUAAUCUUUUUGCGGUGAAGGGUUUUACCUCAAUGUUGGUGGCUGCUGAUGAUCAGGGUGGUGGUUGCUGAAGGUUGGUGUGGUUGUGGCAAUUUCUUUUCUUUUUUUACUUUUUUUUUUUUUUUUUUAGAGUUGAGGUCUUGCACUGUCACUCAGCCUGGAGUGCAGUGGUGCAAUCAUGGCUCACUGCAGCCUUGAAUUCCUGGGCUGAAGCUAUCCUUCUGCCUCAGCCUCCCUAGUAGCUGGGACUACAGGUGUGUGCUGCCACAUGCAAGUAAAUUUCUUUCUCUUUUUUGUGUUUAGAGAUGAAAUCUUGGGUCUGGGUAUGUUGUCUAUGCUGGUCUUAAACUCCUGGCCUCAAGUGAUCCUCCCACCUUGGCCUCCCAAAGUGCUGGGACUACAGGUGUAUGCCACCAUGCCUGGCUAAUUUAUUUCACUUUUUGUAAAGAUGGAGUCUUGCCAUGCUGCCCAGGCUGGUGAAUAUUCUUAAUAGCAUCUAGAAUAAUUAAUUAUUUCCAGAAGGUUUCUUAAUGGACCUUGACAAAAUCCAUCAGAGGAAUCACUAUCUAUGGC